CGCCGCCGCCGCCGCCGGGGGAGGGGCGGCCGCCGCCCGCCUGCGCUCAGAGACUCACGCAGCCCCAGUCCCGCCAGUCCGCCAACACUGUAGUGCCGGCCCCCCUUCCUUCCCUGGCCCUUCCCCCUCCCCGGCUUUGGCUCGCUCCGCCUUUCUGCCCCCAACCCCCACCUCACGGGCACGGGCCAUUCCCGGCCAGGAAACGCCGUGGCGCCGCGUUGGGCCUAACUCGAGUCCUGCUGCCUCCCGGGAGUGCCGUGCGCCGCAGCCCGGGCCCAGGCCUGGGACAAGGUCUUCAGAACUACUGGCAGAUAAUUUUGGGGGACUUCAUAUUCAGAGGUCUAUAAAAAGGAUUCCUCAUGUCCAUAACAUGUUGGUUGAGGCUCUGCAGCUCACCCCCACUCUCAGAGUGGCCAGUUUCUGAUAAUUGGACCCCGUGAUUUCCACUCUCUGCUGUGUUGGACGUCAUGAGCAUUGCAAUCCCUCUGGGAGUCACCACACCAGAUACAUCCUACUCAGAUAUGGCUGCUGGAUCAGAAAAGGAAGUGGAAGCCCCCUACCUUUCAAGACGAAGUGGCACUACACCAGGAUGUGAAAGUCCAGCGAAAGAGACCCAAGGGGCCUAGGGGGCAGCACACCCCCAGAAGCCAAGUCUAUUCCAGGCAGUACCAGGGAUUAGGGUCUGGGCUGGAAAAAUCCUGGUGUUUUGAAUAUGUUCAGGUCCAGUUCAGACUCUUGAUCCCACAGCCACUUCUUGAGUGAGGAAAACCUCUAGAUGUAACAAUAGAAGCAAAGACUUUUCUGAAUUUACAAUCCUGCCAUAAAUGAAUUAAAGACAUUUUCUGAGAGGGUAUCCUGUCUUGGUAGUGAAUGGAAGAGGGCCUGGUCCCUGGGGCAGUGCAGAAGGCACUUUCAUCAUCUCACUCACUGCAAAUGUCAUGUGAGGUUUCAUGGAAGUAUUAAGAGAUCCAAUUAAGAAGAAUAGUUCUGAGUCUAAACCAGCCCAGAGUGGCUUCUCUAGGGGAAACUCCCUGCUCAGCUGCCCUGAAUCUGUGGAGGCUAGUCCAGCAGUUAAUGAGAAGAGCGUGUAUUCCACUCAUAAUUAUGGGACCACUCAGAGACAUGGGUGUCGAGGACUGCCUUAUGCUGAUCAUAAUUACGGAGCCCCUCCUCCUCCGACACCUCCUGCUUCUCCCCCUGUCCAGACGAUCAUCCCCCGUUCUGACCUGAAUGGCCUGCCGUCGCCCGUAGAGGAACGCUGUGGAGACAGCCCGAACUCUGAAGGAGAGACUGUUCCUACCUGGUGUCCUUGUGGUCUUUCUCAGGAUGGCUUCCUUCUCAACUGUGACAAGUGCAGGGGAAUGAGCAGGGGGAAGGUUAUUAGACUUCAUCGGCGGAAGCAGGACAACAUAUCAGGUGGGGAUAGCAGUGCAACAGAAAGCUGGGAUGAGGAGCUUUCUCCUUCCACUGUGUUGUAUACAGCAACACAGCACACACCUACAAGCAUCACCUUAACUGUUAGAAGAACCAAACCCAAGAAACGGAAAAAGAGUCCAGAAAAGGGUCGUGCAGCACCAAAGACGAAGAAAAUCAAGGCAUUUCGAGAGGGAUCCCGGAAGUCCUUGCGGAUGAAGAAUUCUCCUUCUGAAGCACAGAAUUUAGAUGAGAAUACAACUGAGGGAUGGGAAAAUCGGAUAAGACUAUGGACUGAUCAGUAUGAAGAAGCCUUCACUAAUCAGUACAGUGCAGACGUACAGAACGCCCUUGAACAACAUCUACAUUCUAGCAAGGAAUUUGUGGGCAAACCUGCUAUUUUAGACACUAUUAAUAAGACUGAAUUGGCCUGUAAUAAUACAGUUAUUGGUUCCCAAAUGCAGCUACAGUUGGGAAGAGUCACUCGUGUUCAGAAGCACCGGAAGAUCCUGAGGGCUGCAAGAGAUUUGGCUUUGGACACUCUUAUAAUAGAGUAUCGAGGCAAAGUCAUGUUACGGCAGCAAUUUGAGGUCAAUGGGCAUUUCUUCAAAAAACCAUACCCCUUUGUGCUCUUCUACUCAAAAUUCAAUGGUGUAGAGAUGUGUGUGGAUGCACGUACUUUCGGUAAUGAUGCUCGGUUCAUCAGAAGAUCAUGUACGCCAAAUGCAGAGGUGCGACACAUGAUUGCAGAUGGGAUGAUUCACCUCUGUAUCUAUGCUGUGUCUGCCAUCACCAAGGAUGCUGAGGUCACCAUAGCAUUUGACUAUGAGUACAGUAACUGCAGUAAUUAUAAAGUGGACUGUGCAUGUCACAAGGGGAACCGGAAUUGCCCUAUACAGAAAAGGAAUCCCAGUGCUGCAGAACCGCCAGUUCCACCUCCUCCAAGCCUACCCACCAUCGGAGCAGAGACAAGACGUAGAAAAGCACGACGGAAAGAGCUAGAGAUGGAGCAGCAGAAUGAGGCUCCAGAAGAGGAUAACAACCAGCAGCCAGGGCAAAUUCCUGAGAAAGUAAUUGUAUCCAGUGACCAUGAGGGAAUAGACAAUCCAGAAGAAAAAGCAGAAGAGAAAGAAGAGAUUACAGAUGACCAGGAGAACCCAGCUCAUAGCAAGAGGACCCGGGAAGAUAGGAAGGUUGAAGCCAUCAUGCAUGCUUUUGAAAACUUAGAGAAAAGAAAGAAGCGGCGGGAUCAGCCCUUGGAACAGAGCAACUCUGACAUAGAGAUUACUACCACCACCUCGGAGACUCCUGUGGGAGAGGAGACAAAAACUGAAGCCCCUGAAUCUGAAGUUAUCAACCUUGCUUCAAACAUUGCCAUCCCAAGCAACCCACAGAGUGUUGGAGUGAACACCCGGAGGUCUUCCCAAGCAGGGGAUGUUCCUGCCGAAAAACCAGUCCCCAAACCACCUCCAGCAAAGCCUUCUAGGCCCCGACCGAAGAGUCGAAUUUCUCGGUACCGGACCAGUUCAGCCCAAAGACUAAAGCGUCAAAAGCAGGCCAUUGCACAGCAGGCAGAGUUAUCACAAGCUGCCUUGGAAGAGGGGGGAAAUAACAGCUCAGUAACUCCUACUGAAGCUGGAAAUAUAGACAGUUCAGGAGAAAACAGGCAAUUAACAGGGUCUGACCCAACUGUGGUGUCAGUUACUGGAUCCCAUGUCAACCGUGCUGCAUCUAAAUACCCCAAAACCAAAAAGUAUCUAGUUACAGAGUGGUUGAAUGACAAAGCAGAGAAGCAAGAGUGCCCUGUUGAGUGCCCUUUACGUAUCACCACGGACCCAACUGUACUGGCAACGACCCUGAACAUGUUACCCGGUCUUAUCCAUUCCCCGUUAAUUUGCACCACCCCCAAACACUACAUUCGCUUUGGCUCACCCUUUAUCCCUGAGAGGCGUCGAAGGCCGCUUCUGCCUGAUGGCACAUUCAGCUCCUGUAAAAAGCGCUGGAUAAAGCAAGCCUUGGAAGAAGGGAUGACCCAGACAUCAUCUGUACCCCAAGAGACUAGAACUCAGCACCUAUACCAAAGUAAUGAGAAUAGUAAUUCUUCUAGUAUCUGCAAAGACAAUGCAGACUUGUUGAGCCCAUUAAAGAAAUGGAAAUCUCGCUAUCUGAUGGAGCAGAAUGUUACCAAGUUACUGCGGCCUCUUUCUCCAGUCACACCACCCCCUCCCAAUCCAGGCUCAAAGAGCCCCCAGCUGACCACACCUGGCCCAUCUCACCCAGAAGAGGAGUGUCGAAAUGGAUACAGCCUCAUGUUCUCACCAGUCACGUCUCUUACUACUGCUAGUCGCUGCAAUACUCCUCUGCAAUUUGAGAACAUAUCCUCCCCUGAGAGUUCCCCUGCGAAUAGGCCCGAGUCCCUGUCACCCGAGCUUUGUCACCGAAAAGACCUGGACUUGACAAAAGUAGGCUACCUUGACUCCAACACUAACAGCUGUGCUGACAGACCUUCCCUGAUCAGCUCGGGUCAUUCUGACCUGGCUCCUCAUCCCUCUGUCGGACCCACCUCUGAGACUGGCUUUACAAGCAGGAGUGGAGAUGGACAUCAGACCCUUGUGAGAAACUCGGACCAGACUUUUCGGACAGAGUUUAACUUGAUGUAUGCCUACUCCCCGUUGAACGCUAUGCCUCGAGCAGAUGGAUUGUAUCGAGGGUCUCCCCUAGUAGGGGAUAGGAAGCCUUUACAUUUGGAUGGCGGCUAUUGUUCCCCUGCAGAAGGGUUUCCCAGCAGAUAUGAGCAUGGUUUUAUGAAAGACCUCUCUCGUGGAUCCAUGUCACCUGGUGGCGAAAGGGCUUGUGAAGGAGUCCCAUCUGCCCCCCAGAACCCACCACAGAGGAAAAAGGUAUCCCUGCUGGAGUACCGCAAACGGAAACAAGAAGCCAAGGAAAAUUCUGCUGGUGGGGGAGGUGACUCAACACAGAGCAAAAGCAAGUCUGCAGGAGCUGGGCAAGGCAGCAGUAACUCACUUUCUGACAUUGGUGCCCAUGGUGUGCAGGGAUCCUCAGCCCGAACCCCAUCUUCGCCUCACAAAAAGUUCUCCCCAUCUCAUUCCUCUAUGUCUCAUUUGGAGGCGGUAAGCCCAUCGGAUUCCAGAGGCACUUCAUCUCACUGCAGACCUCAAGAGAGUAUCAGCAGUAGGUGGAUGGUUCCCACAUCAGUAGAACGACUCCGAGAAGGAGGGAGUAUCCCCAAGGUCCUCCGAAGCAGUGUGAGGGUGGCCCAAAAAGGAGAGCCUUCUCCCACGUGGGAUAGUAACAUCACAGAAAAAGACUCAGACCCUGCAGAUGGUGAAGGCCCAGAGACACUGAGCUCAGCACUCUCUAAAGGAGCAGCCGUUUACAGCCCUUCCAGAUACAGCUACCAGCUCCUGCAGUGUGAUAGUCCACGGACAGAAUCACAAAGCCUCCUUCAACAGAGUUCCUCCCCCUUUAGAGGACAUCCCACCCAGUCUCCGGGAUACAGUUAUCGAACUACUGCACUGAGACCUGGGAACCCCCCUUCUCAUGGUUCUUCAGAAUCCUCCCUCUCUUCCACGUCCUAUUCCAGCCCUGCCCACCCUGUGUCCACAGACUCGUUGGCCCCAUUUACGGGGACACCAGGGUAUUAUAGCAGCCAGCCACAUUCUGGAAACAGCACCGGCAGCAGUCUUCCAAGGAGGAGCUGCCCUUCUAGUGCUGCUAGCCCUACCCCACAGGGCCCCUCAGACUCGCCGACCUCAGACUCGGUUUCCCAGUCCAGCACAGGAACUCUGAGUUCCACCUCCUUUCCUCAGAACUCUAGGUCGUCAUUGCCAUCAGACUUCCGGACUAUCAGUCUGCCCAGUGCUGGGCAGUCAGCUGCCUACCAGGCCUCCAGGGUAUCUGCGGUUUCCAAUUCACAGCACUACCCACAUCGAGGGAGUGGGGGUGUGCACCAGUACCGGCUCCAGCCACUGCAGGGGUCGGGGGUCAAGACUCAGACAGGACUUUCCUAGGGCUUCUGGAUUUGGGCAAACAGAACUUGAAUGAGCCCAUAGCUGCUUCCUUCCAGCUGCCUCUGGAACCUAGGCCGAGCAUAUUGCUGGGGGAGGGGGUACAAGGUGCCAGAGGAUUGGGUCUGGUCAACAAGAAACAAGACUUGUGGUCAUGACUGGCUCUGGCCUUGGAGAAAGAUGUAAAUCUUGUCUGAAGCAGAGACUAUAAAGAAGUUUCUCCCUGCUGUUAAGGGAGUUGAUGAUCCUCUGAGUAGGACUGCCUCCAUGAUUGGGGAACAUGCACUCGUGACUGCAGGGUAAGAGUGGAAAGAUACGUUUGUGGAAUGGCACCGACAGGACUGUGAUUGUGUGUGGCAUGUCCCACGUUUCUUUGGGAGAUGCUUAUUUGAGAGUGGCCCAGGUGAGAGUGUUAUAAAGCCACCCACACAUCUAAUAACACUGUUCUGGAUGAGAGAUGAGAGCAGACUGGCUUCUCCCCAUCAGUGCAUUGUGCCUGUUGUACACCCCUGCAGGAGCCCUGGAGCCAGCCAGGUGGGGUACACAAUCUUUUUAAAUUCCAUACGGUUGCCAGCUUAUUUCUUUCACUUGUUUACUGUAAUAUCCGGCGUGUUUUUAUUUAUCUAAUUUUGUAUUCAGUUAUAACCAUGGUAGGGGUAGCAGAUAUCUGACAGGUGUAAUCCCUGGUGCUGCAGUGGACCUUACUUCUUUCUUUUGGACAAGAUAAUACUGUGAGUCUCCCUCCUUCCUUCCCUCCAGUUUGCUUUCUCCCUUUUUCCCUCAGCCUCUUACAUCCCCUUUCUUUCUACCCUCUGCUACAACUAUCAUAUGCACAGUCUUCUCUCUUUGUGUGUGACUGUUACAAAAUUUCACUUUUUCAAAAUUGAAAUCAGGUGUUUGCUCAAAUGAGGGGAGAUUUUUUUUUUUUAAUGCUGAGACUUCAGCAGAUUACUUUUCUUUUUGUUUCCCCCACAAACCCAUCAGUCUGGGAGAGCGUUGGGAGUGGAAAUCAUGUUGCCUGGGAUGCUGGUUUCUUUGUAUAUUAUAUAAAACGUAUGUAAAUGUCUCUCCAUUUGGGCUGGGGUUUGCAUUCUCCCCUUGGCUGUUAAACCGAGGGGAGAGGCCAGCGGGCAGGCGGCCCUCACCCUGCCUGGCACGUGCAGAGACCCCAGCCACUCUGUGUGGGCAGGGUGCUGUCAAGACCAGACCUCUGGGGGGGGGUGGGGG